rnacentral:lncRNA from 1 species
GAGGCCGCAGGGGCGCGUGGACACGGUGUGCUCCUAGCGGGGAAAAUGGUUGUUGUUCGGGUGAAAGAAAAAUGUGCUUAGGAGAGGAUUUCAUGACUCGCCUGAGCCAGCGCAAUUCAUUUCGAGGUGACCAUUUAUUCCUGGCUCACAAGUUCGCAAGUCUGUGAAAAACAAUCCCAUCGCACCGAGGAUACUCCAGGAUGGAGCGGAGGGCGAGAGUGCAGUCGUGUUAGUGAGAAAGAGCCCACCCGAUAUGCUCCUAUUGCACUUCUAUUGAAGAAUAAAAGGCUGCGGUCUCUCCAGACGAGAACUUGUCAGAUAUUUUAAGUCUGGCUUUCAGUCCUUUUUGGUGAAUGCUCUGGUGUCCGCCGAUGCCUUAGAAGUGGAGUUAAGAGUUGUGAGCUGCCGUUUUUGGUUCUGGGACUCGAACUCGUUUCCUCUGAUACUAUCAACCACCAAGCCAUCUCUUCAGCCCCAGCUACAUAAGACUUCAGGAGAACCAGAGAGAUGGUGCCAGGCCUGCCAACCUGAGUUCAAUAGCAGAACCCACACAGUAGCAAAAGAACCAACUCUGACCUUCCCCCUCCCCCUCCCCUCUCCUUCCCCUCUUCAGUAGUCGCUCCAGAGACACCCAAAAUAAAAAAUUUAAAUGUAAA